GCGAAGUCAAGUCCGGACCUCAGUAGGAUUGCAGCUGGCUUAACCGCACGUGCUCGUCUCAAAGGGCUUCGGACCUUCACUACCACACCCCACUGUGAACCAAGCGGGAGGUCGAAAGGCCUCUUGCAUUUAUAAACCCCCAAACGUAUGUCUCAGAAUGUCUACGCGUUAAUUCGCAAAUAUA
rnacentral:misc_RNA from 1 species